GAAUCCCGUCUUUGACAUGGACUGCCAGGGCUUUGUGAUGCGCUCUCAAAGAGUCGAGUUGUUUGGGAAUGCAGCUCAAAAUGGGUGGUAAAUUCCAUCUAAAGCUAAAUAUUGGGGAGAGACCGAUAGCGAACAAGUACCGUGAGGGAAAGAUGAAAAGAACUUUGGAAAGAGAGUUAAACAGUACGUGAAAUUGCUGAAAGGGAAACGCUUGAAGUCAGUCGCGUCGCUCAGGACUCAGCCUUGCUUUUGCUUGGUGUACUUCCUGUUCGAUGGGUCAGCAUCAAUUUUGGUCGGUGGAUAAAGGCUCAGAGAAUGUGGCAUCUUCGGGUGUGUUAUAGCUCUGGGUUGUAUACAUCGGCUGGGAUUGAGGAACUCAGCACGCCGCAAGGCCGGGUACUUGUACCACGUACGUGCUUAGGAUGCUGGCAUAAUGGCUUUAAUCGACCCGUCUUGAAACACGGACCAAGGAGUCUAACAUGCCUGCGAGUGUUCGGGUGGAAAACUCGUGCGCGCAAUGAAAGUGAAAGUUGGGACCUCUGUCGUGGAGGGCACCGACGCCCGGACCAGACCUUCUGUGACGGCUCUGCGGUAAAGCAUGUAUGUUAGGACCCGAAAGAUGGUGAACUAUGCCUGAAUAGGGUGAAGCCAGAGGAAACUCUGGUGGAGGCUCGUAGCGAUUCUGACGUGCAAAUCGAUCGUCAAAUUUGGGUAUAGGGGCGAAAGACUAAUCGAACCAUCUAGUAGCUGGUUCCUGCC
rnacentral:rRNA from 1 species